CAGGCGAGCUGAGAUAAAUUGUCGUCGAAUUAAAAGAGAUGAGCCCCGGCGAGCUGAGAUAAAUCGUCGUCGAAUUGAAAGAGAUGAGCCCCGGCGAGCUGAGAUAAAUUGUCGUCGAAUUGAAAGAGAUGAGCCCCGGCGAGCUGAGAUAGAUCGUCGUCGAAUUGAAAGAGAUGAGCCCCGGCGAGCUGAAAUAAAUUGUAAUCAAAAUGAAAGAAAUCAGGCUAGGUGAGAACUUAAUAGGUAUAAUAUGCAUCGCAUAGCAAGAAAUAAUAUUGCUAUAGAGAGUAACUACCUCGGAGAAUUAAACCAUAAUUGUCAGUAUUGCAGUGCAAAGAAGUUUUUAAAUGAAACUCAUUUUUUGUGCUGCCAUUCAAGAAAAGUUGUAUUAGCUCCUCUUUCUCUUUAUCCGCCAUUGUUGACUGGUUUAAUGACAGGAAACCAUGUUGAUCAUGCUGUAAAUCAAAAUUUUUUUAAACACAUAAGGAGUUAUAAUUCCUCUUUAUCUUUUGCUUCCUUCACUGCCGAAAUAGCUCCUCCCUCAAAUAAUGGCCCUUUCUGUUUUAGGGUCUGUGGGCAAAUUUUGCAUCGUGUUGGAAAUUUAAGGCCUGCAGAAGGUUGUCUGCCCAAAUAUUGUCAGCUGUAUAAUUAUGAUCCUAAUGCAGCUUAUUACAUUGAUUGAUUGUUUUUAUUGCAUUUUUAAUUUUCUUUUAUUUAUCUCAGCUGCUGCUUCUUCUGUUACAAGCUCGAAGUCAUGGGAAGAUUUCCGAAAGUAUCGCUCCCAGCAUCCAGGCCCUCUAUCUAUGAGGGCCUUCCAUCGCUGGUGUUUGUAUGGGGACGACCAUCCCUCCUUUAGAUGGAGGGAUGGCACACCAUACAACACGGGGAAUAUAGCGGAUGCUGGGAGGAGAAGACAACGUGGCUUAAAAGUUGUCAAUAAUUUUUUUACAUUUUAAAAUGUAAAGAAAUUGACAACUUUUGAGCCACUUCAUUUUUUUUUUGUAAUAUAUUUUUGUAAAUUUAUUUUUGUGUUGUUUUUUAAUUUUUCCCAUGAAUGUUAAAUGUUAUCAAAGUAAAUCAUUUAAAUAAAGACACCUUUAUCAACAAUGCUCAUUAACUAGAAAUAAAAGUCACGGUCAUACAUUUGAUAAAGUUAAUGUUAAUCUCAAAGGGAUUUGGUUUUCACACAAUCAAAUUCUAUGUAGCACCUUCCAGAACUAAGAAUAUAAGUGUGUGGUGUUAGUAGUUUAAAAUAUGUAUAAUAAACUCAGAAUAACUCAAUAACUCUCAACAAAACUAUGAACUAAUUUUGAAAUUCAAGUUGAGCUUUUUUAUUUAUUAAUACCUCCCCUCCCAAUAACUCUAAUUUU